ACAAUACAAAGAGAAAGAGAGUGGUGUGUGCAACAGCCUUCAGUUUACCAUGGCUUCGAGGUGCCACAUGAAAAUGUUUCUUCUGCUCCUUAUACUGGAGAUCGUUCUGCUCAUUACCAUGCCUUCUGGAGGGCUGGCGGGUCCGAGUGUGACACAGAGAAACAGUAAGUACUUUGGCCUUUCAUUGUUGCAGAUCCGACCACAGAUUUAUUACAAAAUACCUAGUACUCCUUCUGAAAUCAAAGAUAACAAAAAAUUUAAAAAGGGCUUGACAAUUGAUAUAUCAAGAAAAUGGAUAGAAGUUCAAGUUACUGUUACAUGUUCUCUUUCUCAUGCAUUAUUCAAAUGUUAGUAAUAUUGAUUGGAGGAUUAAAUGGCCGGAAAGCUUGUGGCUCCAAACGAAGAUGAUUCUCGACAAAAUUCUCCCCCGCUUUUGGUAAACCCACAAAACAAUAUGUAAAAUAUAUGGCUAGUCAGACCAAAAAUUGGCAGUGAAAUAAUUAAAGACUAAUUAUAGCUUCCCUCUGUCUUGUGUUUCCAGAAUUUGCAUCUCAUAAUUUGUUCUUGCAGAUAGUGACAACCCCAACUGCCCCCCUUGCUACAGACCUCCUUGUCGUCAUUGUUGAAAGUAUAUGGGGUUUUGCCCCAUUUAAUUUUCAUUCCUCAAAAGACACAUAUGGAGUGAAGGAGAAAUGAGACCAACAUAUAAGGGACUCUCUCUCACACACACUCCUCAUUAGAGCAUGAUAAGAGGACUAGUAGUGGCGUGCCUUCUCCGCAGCCACACCGCACCGCUCGCCUACAUCUUCGAUUCCUGGCGACUUAUUCAAACCUAUAAUAAGAAUGCUCCUUGGUGCGAUAGCAACAUUGUAAGCCAUCCAGGAGCAUGUGCUUCAUCGUUUUCCAAUUUGCAUCCUUUAUGUCGUUGCUAUGUUUUUGUGCUGUGUAAAGUCUACUUGCCUGGCAAUUUGAUACAUCAUUUCGUUGUGCAUGAAACGUUGCCCUGCAGCAAACGAUGAUCUCACAUGUGUGACCAGGCUCCUUGUAUAAAUGGGAAAUGUAAAAGAGGCUCCAAUUACCACACGGUCAGUGUGGUAAUCAAUCCUACACCAAUGAUAUCAACAUUGAAAGAGGCUCAGAUUCACUAAAUUCUCGAAGCAGGCUCUUAGCACACACCAAGGUACACAGUCAAAUGAUACAAGGUAGUGAUGAAGCCCUCUUACAAAGUAGAUCCUGAGAUAACCGUGCAACAUAGACAUAUGCGGCUACGUUGCCGAAAGAUAACACUGGAAGGCCUGAACACAACACGACGACAUGACCUGGGACACCAAACCUCCAAACGCCCUCAGGACGAGGAACAACGGAAAGCGUCACCACUGCCGGGUCUGAAAUGAACAAGGGUCUUCUCCCAGAAGAUAGCACAGAGAGGAGAACCACAAUCAUGUCCUCAAUAGGAAAUAGGAAAGCGGCACCCACAGGCAUCGCCGCCUUCGGCACCAAAGCACGAAGCUUUCGCUCGACAGCUCACCCGUAUCACCAAGAAGCACCUAGUACCACCACGACAAGUAGAAGCCCUCUAGAUCCACAUCUGGGCAUCGCAACUACCAAUGAUAGAGAGCGAUUUCGAGCCACCCGUUGCC
rnacentral:lncRNA from 1 species